rnacentral:rRNA from 1 species
CAAAGGUGAGCCAGUACAGGAUGGACCCGCGUCUGAUUAGCUAGUUGGUAAGGUAACGGCUUACCAAGGCGACGAUCAGUAGCCGACCUGAGAGGGUGAUCGGCCACAUUGGAACUGAGACACGGUCCAAACUCCUACGGGAGGCAGCAGUGGGGAAUAUUGCACAAUGGGCGAAAGCCUGAUGCAGCAACGCCGCGUGAGUGAUGAAGGCCUUCGGGUCGUAAAACCCUGUCCUCAAGGAAGAUAAUGACGGUACUUGAGGAGGAAGCCCCGGCUAACUACGUGCCAGCAGCCGCGGUAAUACGUAGGGGGCUAGCGUUAUCCGGAUUUACUGGGCGUAAAGGGUGCGUAGGCGGUCUUUCAAGUCAGGAGUGAAAGGCUACGGCUCAACCGUAGUAAGCUCUUGAAACUGGGAGACUUGAGUGCAGGAGAGGAGAGUGGAAUUCCUAGUGUAGCGGUGAAAUGCGUAGAUAUUAGGAGGAACACCAGUUGCGAAGGCGGCUCUCUGGACUGUAACUGACGCUGAGGCACGAAAGCGUGGGGAGCAAACAGGAUUAGAUACCCUGGUAGUCCACGCCGUAAACGAUGAGUACUAGGUGUCGGGG